rnacentral:rRNA from 1 species
UACGAAGGGGGCUAGCGUUGCUCGGAAUCACUGGGCGUAAAGGGUGCGUAGGCGGGUCUUUAAGUCAGGGGUGAAAUCCUGGAGCUCAACUCCAGAACUGCCUUUGAUACUGGCGAUCUUGAGUCCGGGAGAGGUGAGUGGAACUGCGAGUGUAGAGGUGAAAUUCGUAGAUAUUCGCAAGAACACCAGUGGCGAAGGCGGCUCACUGGCCCGGUACUGACGCUGAGGCACGAAAGCGUGGGGAGCAAACAGGG